rnacentral:rRNA from 1 species
GACGAACGCUGGCGGCGUGCUUAACACAUGCAAGUCGAACGAAGUGGCGAACGGGUGAGUAACGCGUAAUCAACCUGCCCUUCAGAGGGGGACAACAGUUGGAAACGACUGCUAAUACCGCAUACUGAAGGAGGGGAUUUCGUCUGAUUAGCUAGUUGGGGGGGUAACGACCCACCAAGGCGAUGAACAGUAGCCGGUCUGUGAGGAGGAACUGACAACUUGGGACCGAGAGAAGGGCCAGACUGCUAAGGGAGGCAGCAGUGGGGGAUCUUCCGCAAUGGACGACAGUCAGACGGAACAACGCAGCGUGAGUGAGGACGACGUUCGGGUUGUAAAGCUCUGUUAAUCGGGACGCGGUACCGGAAUAGGAAGCCACGGCUAACUACGUGCCAGCCGCCGCGGUAAUUC